UGGCGAACGGGUGAGUAACACGUGGGUGAUCUGCCCUGCACUCUGGGAUAAGCCUGGGAAACUGGGUCUAAUACCGGAUAGGACCAUGCUUUAGUGUGUGUGGUGGAAAGUUUUUUCGGUGUAGGAUGAGCCCGCGGCCUAUCAGCUUAUUGGUGGGGUAAUGGCCUACCAAGGCGGCGACGGGUAGCCGGACUGAGAGGUUGGUCGGCCACAUUGGGACUGAGAUACGGCCCAG
rnacentral:rRNA from 1 species